CGGCUGCCGCGCGCGUCUUCUUCCCGCAGUCGGCCGCUGCCGCUGCCGCAGCCGCCGCCGCCGCCGCCGCCGGCAGCCCUUACUCUCUGCUCGACCUGGGCUCCAAGAUGGCAGAGAUCUCGUCGUCCUCGUCCGGCCUCCCGUACGCGUCGUCGCUGGGCUACCCGACCGCGGGUGCGGGCGCCUUCCACGGCGCGGCGGCCGCGGCUGCAGCGGCGGCCGCGGCCGCCGGGGGGCACACGCACUCGCACCCCAGCCCGGGCAACCCGGGCUACAUGAUCCCGUGCAACUGCAGCGCGUGGCCCAGCCCCGGGCUGCAGCCGCCGCUCGCCUACAUCCUGCUGCCGGGCAUGGGCAAGCCUCAGCUGGACCCCUACCCUGCGGCCUACGCCGCCGCGCUAUGACCCCGCGGGGCCGCCUCGCGAGGACCGGUGUGCACACGUGUACAUAUGUAUAGGCUCCGGGCAACCUAGGCGAGGGGCGCCUAAGAUGGAGAGGAGGUUCGACCGUCUUCCCGGAGCAGAUAGGACCCGCGCGCCAGCCAAUCAGAGCGCGGCUCGGCCGCUCCCCGCCUCAGCCGCAGCCGCAGCCGCAGCCUCCGGGCAAGUGAAGUUCCAGCAACUCGCCCGCCCGAAGAGUCCGAGUCUUUCUUGUGCCCACAGCCCCGCGGAGGCAGAGAGCGCCAUCCAAACUUUAUUAAUCUCUCCCCGUUCUUUCUCCCUCAGUCCAGUGCAUCUCAAAGGUUCAACACCUGGGGAAGGUGCUGCCUGGGCUGACGAGAGAUGGGCCACGCCGAACCGCAGGAGAAGGUGAAGGACCUCAGACCUCAGCCGCCCCCAACCCUAACUCCUCCGCAAAGCCCCUGCCGAGUCAGCCCCAACUGAGAAAAGAGACUACCCGGUCGAGGAGGGAACACAUGGGAGGAGAUGAUCGCUGGGCUCUAGAAGAUUCCUCAAGGAAGUGAGGGAUCCGGCAGCGGGGGAGGGUCUCGAAAGUCCCCCCACCCAGACUUGGGGACCCCUCUUUCUGCAGCUGGAGGAGUCACAUUCGAAAGAGGGGUCUCUGAAAUUGGGACCAGCCUCUCCCCGACGAUUUUAACCCCUGCAAACCCACUAUGAUUUUGGGCAGCCUGAAACUUAAGAAAAUUAUUAAAUCACGAUUAUCACAGGUCUUUGGAAGAGGGGUCGGUGCCAGCGAGAGACUGUGAAACAAAAGGUCCUUUGCCUUCCUCUUCCCGGGAAAUCUGCCUCUGAUAGACCCUCAGGACUACCCGGGAGCUCGUUCUCAGCUCCAGGUGAGGCGAGAGCCUGGGGCAGAAGUGAGGCCCUUAGCUAAAGGCCCCAUCCCCUGCUCAGCCCCCCGCCGCUUCUCCCGCCUCCAGCCGAGGGGGCGGGCGGGACAAAGGCGCCAACGGCUUUGCCCCAGUCCAAAGCUUCCUUGCGUUUCUAGAUCCCAACUUGCUGUUGCUCCUUUUCGGGGACUCGGUUUUCUCCUGCAAACCUAGACUCGAGUAAGUAGUUAGAGCGGCUGAUGAAUAUGUAUUCGAACAGGCUG
rnacentral:lncRNA from 1 species